rnacentral:rRNA from 1 species
UCGCUGGCCUCUCGGGGGCAUGGUGCACGCCCGAACCUUUAAAUCCACACACACCUGUGAACCCAAUGUAAGGGCCCGUAACAAGGCCCCUACGUCUUAUCACAAACCCUUUGCAUGUUUCCAUAGAAUGUCAUUUUAUAUCUUCGCCUUAAAAAAGCGUCGGUAAACUUAUACAACUUUCAACAACGGAUCUCUUGGCUCUCGCAUCGAUGAAGAACGCAGCGAAAUGCGAUAAGUAAUGUGAAUUGCAGAUUUUCAGUGAAUCAUCGAAUCUUUGAACGCACCUUGCGCCCCUUGGUAUUCCGAGGGCAUGCCUGUUUGAGUGUCAUUAAAUUCUCAACCCCGAAUCUUUUUUUGGGGUUGGCUUGGAGUGUGCUGGCGUCUGGUCGGUCCUCUCAAUGAUCGCGGAUUGACCUUCGUGCCGUAUGUCAUGGAUAAUCAUGUGCGUGUCGUCGGCACCAAGUCCGUUAUAAUGGUUUCGGACAAACCCUUCAUCAAUUUGACCUCAAUCAGUAGGACUACCCGCUGAAUUAACAUAC